AAGCCCACACAUGGAGGUCCUGCCUU
rnacentral:piRNA from 1 species